rnacentral:rRNA from 2 species
AACACGACUCUCGGCAACGGAUAUCUCGGCUCUCGCAUCGAUGAAGAACGUAGCGAAAUGCGAUACUUGGUGUGAAUUGCAGAAUCCCGUGAACCAUCGAGUCUUUGAACGCAAGUUGCGCCCGAAGCCGUCAGGCCGAGGGCACGUCUGCCUGGGCGUCACGCA